AUGUCUGUGACUCUUACUCCAAGGUUAAAAGGAUCAGAGUUGUGUUUGGUGGCCACAGGUUUGCAUUGGAGUAGCAUUGGUGUCUUCCCCCUCUAUGUCUCAGAAACUGACGUGGCCGCUGCAGAGAGCAGAUUUGGUUGUUGGCCUUUGGUCUGUGUGGAUUUUGUGACUGGGAAAAGUUAAAAGCACUAUUCUUAG